ACAAGCGGAGGAGCAUGUGGUUUAAUUCGAUGAUACGCGAGGAACCGUUACCUGGGCUCGAACGUAAGAUGACUGUAGGUGAAAGCUUACAUCUCUUCGGAGCAUUUUACGAGGUGCUGCAUGGUUGUCGUCAGCUCGUGCCGUGAGGUGUCGGGUUAAGUCCCAUAACGAGCGCAACCCUACCUUUAGUUGCCAUCAGGUAAUGCUGGGGACUCUAAAGGAACUGCCUACGCAAGUAGUGAGGAAGGCGGGGAUGACGUCAAAUCAGCACGGCCCUUACGUCCAGGGCUACACACGUGCUACAAUGGCCGAUACAGAGGGCAGCUACCUGGUGACAGGAUGCAAAUCUCCAAAGUCGGUCUCAGUUCGGAUCGGAGUCUGCAACCCGACUCCGUGAAGUUGGAUUCGCUAGUAAUCGCGCAUCAGCCAUGGCGCGGUGAAUACGUUCCCGGGCCUU
rnacentral:rRNA from 1 species